AUUGAACGCUGGCAGCAUGCCUUACACAUGCAAGUCGAACGGCAGCAUGGAGAGCUUGCUCUCUGAUGGCGAGUGGCGAACGGGUGAGUAAAGCAUCGGAACGUACCGUGUAGUGGGGGAUAACGUAGCGAAAGUUACGCUAAUACCGCAUACGCACUGAGGUGGAAAGCAGGGGAUCGUAAGACCUUGCGCUAUACGAGCGGCCGAUGUCAGAUUAGCUAGUUGGUAGGGUAAAGGCCUACCAAGGCGACGAUCUGUAGCGGGUCUGAGAGGAUGAUCCGCCACACUGGGACUGAGACACGGCCCAGACUCCUACGGAAGGCAGCAGUGGGGAAUUUUGGACAAUGGGGGCAACCCUGAUCCAGCCAUGCCGCGUGAGUGAAGAAGGCCUUCGGGUUGUAAAGCUCUUUCGGCCGGGAAGAAAUCGCACAGGCUAAUACCCUGUGUGGAUGACGGUACCGGCAUAAGAAGCACCGGCUAACUACGUGCCAGCCGCCGCGGUAA
rnacentral:rRNA from 1 species